UAGGGAAUCUUCGGCAAUGGGGGGAACCCUGACCGAGCAACGCCGCGUGAGUGAAGAAGGUUUUCGGAUCGUAAAACUCUGUUAUUAGGGAAGAACAAAUGUGUAAGUAACUAUGCACGUCUUGACGGUACCUAAUCAGAAAGCCACGGCUAACUACGUGCCAGCAGCCGCGGUAAUACGUAGGUGGCAAGCGUUAUCCCGAAUUAUUGGGCGUAAAGCGCGCGUAGGCGGUUUUUUAAGUCUGAUGUGAAAGCCCACGGCUCAACCGUGGAGGGUCAUUGGAAACUGGAAAACUUGAGUGCAGAAGAGGAAAGUGGAAUUCCAUGUGUAGCGGUGAAAUGCGCAGAGAUAUGGAGGAACACCAGUGGCGAAGGCGACUUUCUGGUCUGUAACUGACGCUGAUGUGCGAAAGCGUGGGGAUCAAACAGG
rnacentral:rRNA from 1 species